CUCUGGCAAACAGCCCUUUUUGUCUUUGAAGCCCUCAGUGACAUUGUUGAAAUACAUCUUCAAAACCAGGAAGCUGUGUGAUUUUUGAUUUUCUGGCGACCUCGCCCUUUCUUGUGAACUGCAAACCGGACCAUGCGCUUUGAUUCACAGUAAAGGCUGGAGGCAGAAACAAAAGUGUUUCCUUUUCACCUAAAUGCCCAUGUUUUCAGAAGCAGCGAGGAGGCUGAGCCGUAAGGUGCCCAACAGACAUUCCUGAAACGAGAUGGAGGAUUGUCGCCGGAAGCAGACGGCCCGCGUGUCAAGGGCCCGGGGCCAGAGGGGACACUCAUCAGACGUCCGCCUCCUCACUCAUUGCAGACAACCCCACCCGCAUCAUCAACAGUUGUCUCUGAUGCACUUUGGAAUCAACUGCCAUGCAGGGACUUCCGAUCUAGUUGGAAAGACUCCAGGACAGGCCACUGAGAAGAGCCCUCCUCGAGUUUGCCCAGAGGAGAGGAAGGGGGGACACUUUCGAAGCAGAUAAACGCUUUCGUGGAGCCUGAUGAUGCCAGAACCCGAGUUCGGGCAAAAAGGGUGGC